rnacentral:tRNA from 1 species
UGGGAUGUGGCUCAGUGGUAGAGCACUUGCCUGGCAUGAGUGAGGCUCUGGGUUAGAUUCCUAGCACUACAA